GAUGAACGCUGGCGGCGUGCUUAACACAUGCAAGUCGAACGGAAAGGCCCAAGCUUGCUUGGGUACUCGAGUGGCGAACGGGUGAGUAACACGUGGGUGAUCUGCCCUGCACUUCGGGAUAAGCCUGGGAAACUGGGUCUAAUACCGGAUAGGACCACUUCUUGGAUGUUGUGGUGGAAAGUUUUCUCGGUGUGGGAUGAGCUCGCGGCCUAUCAGCUUGUUGGUGGGGUAAUGGCCUACCAAGGCGUCGACGGGUAGCCGGCCUGAGAGGGUGUACGGCGACAUUGGGACUGAGAUACGGCCCAGACUCCUACGGGGGGCAGCAGUGGGGAAUAUUGCACAAUGGGCGCAAGCCUGAUGCAGCGACGCCGCGUGGGGGAUGACGGCCUUCGGGUUGUAAACUCCUUUCGCUAGGGACGAAGCGUUUUUGUGACGGUACCUGGAGAAGAAGCACCGGCUAACUACGUG
rnacentral:rRNA from 1 species